CGCGUAGGCGGCUGUUCAAGUCGGGGGUGAAAUCCCGUGGCUCAACCACGGAAUGGCCUUCGAUACUGGACGGCUCGAGACCGGAAGAGGUGAGUGGAACUGCGAGUGUAGAGGUGAAAUUCGUAGAUAUUCGCAAGAACACCAGUGGCGAAGGCGGCUCACUGGUCCGGUUCUGACGCUGAGGCGCGAAAGCGUGGGAGCAAACA
rnacentral:rRNA from 1 species